rnacentral:rRNA from 1 species
UACGAAGGGGGCUAGCGUUGUUCGGAAUCACUGGGCGUAAAGCGCACGUAGGCGGAUCUUUAAGUCAGAGGUGAAAUCCCAAGGCUCAACCUUGGAACUGCCUUUGAUACUGGGGAUCUCGAGUCCGGGAGAGGUGAGUGGAACUGCGAGUGUAGAGGUGAAAUUCGUAGAUAUUCGCAAGAACACCAGUGGCGAAGGCGGCUCACUGGCCCGGUACUGACGCUGAGGUGCGAAAGCGUGGGGAGCAAACAG